AUUUAAGGCAGAUUGCUAUAUAAACUAGAAUUAAGGGAAACAGAACAUUUGACUAGAUAAAAUAAGGAUAAAAGGAAACUGUUAAAAAGACACCAUAAGAACAAACUGACACAUUAUCUCUUCUUUAACUGAGGUACACAAGUCAUGGAAUCCAUUCCGGCUGAUCCAGUCCUGGACUCCGCUCCUCCUCCUCCGAUACGCUCCAGUCCCAGAUCCAUCCAAGGAUGAAGACUACGCUGAUGUUAAAACUGCUGCUGAAACACGACACCAUAAGCCAGAGAGAGAUGAUGAACUAAUGCAACAUUAAAGAGCUACAGAAGCACUGUUCUGCUCCGGUAACAGUAAUGCAACACAUCGUAUUGCCCAGUCAUGGAAAUGCCAAUUAUAAAAGGAAUAUUUGGUAUUUGGAACAUUGUUGAGGCGACGGGUCACGUGACAGCCUCACAUGCAAUUGGAGCAGUUUGGAGCGUUUAUCAAAGGAUGCCAUAAUGACUUAAAGACAGCUGAGUAGCAAACCAGCUCAAACAACAACUCCACUUUGGAGACCUGCAAGAUUUCUACAAUCUCAACAAAAUACUUCACUCUAGUUUCACAAGAAAGUAGGCUGGAGCACAGAAUGGACUCAGUACAGCGAUGUCAUCAUUGGAGAAUUGCAGGCCAAUCACAACAUGUUUGCAUUCAAGAACAGAUCAUGUAGAGCUCUCCAAGUUCACACGAUCAUCACCUUAUGGUCACAGCGGUCUGAAAUAAAGUUCAUCGGAAAAGAACAUGUUCUGAGCGGGACAAGGCCAGAAACUGCUGUUGGAACAAAGAUGCCGAAUUUCACAGCGUCUUAGUGACAGACGAGAGAACCUGCAAGCUGAAGAUUCACACAAAGAGGACAAAAGUGAGAAAACAGCCAUCAAAAACUCUGUUCUGAGCCGUCACAGUACGAGAAAACGGACAGUACAGUGGACAAAGGUGGACAUUGGUACACAGAGAUUGUCUGGACAGAUCCAAAACAGAUCCAAAUGGACUGAGCUGGAGGGGGCGGGACGGACGCCAGUGACAGGAAACAGCUGGGACACACACACACACACACACACAGACCUUUAGGUACAUGCAGACAGACUCGUUACUCUGCACAAUACACAAUUCUGAUGGACAGGAUGCAACAAGUUUUAAUUAUUAUGGAAGAGGGACAGUGGAAGAAAAAAAAAAGAGAGAGAACUAUUGCAACAUAUUAUCUGGACAAGGAGGCUGUGCUGUUGUUUUGUUUCUUCUUCUCCUUCUCUGAUCUUAGCUGUACCGAGGGGGAAGUAUACACAUGGCGAAGCAAAGCCAAGUGAUUUGCAAACGGAUGGAUUUGGGGAUAAAGUCCACCCGGAGUUGGCUGACUGACAACAGGCCCGUAAGUUGGAAUCUGAGAACACUGUACAGUAAAGAGCAAAAAGUCCUGCUCAGGUUAAAAGAACCAUUGAACUAGUUCCUGUAACAUCUUUUUACACACCGUGGUUAAAACAAUAAACUGUGACCUCAUGUCUGAGGUGCAAACUGAAUGAGAGUCUAUAGCUGUAGUUCACACAAAGUUUGAUUUGAUGUGUGAAAUAAUAUUUACAAAUAUUAAACAUGUUUUCUUUUGUUCACUGCUGCAGGCUGCAGUGACCUGUACGCACCCACAUUUUCACAAAAGAUUGUGAUGAAGGCCGACCAGCAGAGCGACAGAGUGCUGCAGGUUAAAGAGGCCCUACCCUCUCCAGCGACAGAACCACUGCACAGUCUCCUAGAGUCUCCUUUUGUGGUGGUUAAGGACUUCAGAAGAAAGCACUGGAAGGCGCAGAGGUGGAAAGGUGCUCCUGACAACAUACACAGCGGUAAAAGUGGCUGAAAGAGCUACGUGGAUUCACGCCAGCCACUGCAGGAAGGAGCCUGCACCAGUACAACAACAGAUCAACAAGCGUGCACAAUCAGCACCUCGUGCUGUGAGUGAAGGAGGGAUUGGGAACGCUUAGGCUCCCUUUGUCUCGGACUCACAGGCUGUUAGACAGCAAACAUCAGCACAAGGGAGCUAGUGGGAAAACUCCUGGUCUCACCACUGCUGAUUUAAGUGACGCCGCAAAACAUUAAGAGUGGGUAGCAUGGUUGUCUCUGGAAGGAGACGUCAUGGGACCCAGUCAGACACCCAGACAUGUGUGGCCUACGAGGAGCAACAGAGAUGUUUGCUGCCAUUGCAACAGCAUGAACAGUGCCUCUGUUGCAGUUCUUAGAUCACAAGCGUGAUGCACAAAAGCCACCACAACAGAACACCACAGUGAACUACAGGCAUUGACAUCAAAUAGCAGUGUUGGAGGCAAGAGAAGCACCCAAAGAGGCUGGGAUGCUGGGCUAAUGUUUAAUAACUCCUGCUGUAUGUUUGUGCCCAACAAUACAGCUCCAGAUGGUUCGGUGAACCCAGUGCUGGAAGGACUGCGUUCCCUACGAGAAGAACUUGCAGAGAACUCUGAAGUGGACACUAACAUGUUCGACCGGUCAGAUUCUGUGUUUGCUAAAUAAAAGGCCUUAGUGAUGCCCACACUAGCAGGUCUAAUGAUUGCUGUAGCUCUCUGUGGAUGUUGCAUCAUUCCAUGUGCCAGAGGUCUGAUUGUAGGAGCUAUUGAGAAAAGUGUCUCCAUUCAAAUGAUCACACUCGUCUGGAUUGGAAUCUUUUUCAUUCAUCUCACAUUUCAGAAGACUCACUAAAGGACAAAUUUCCAUUACACCAGUCAUGUAAGGAUUUCCAUAAACUUUAGUCACAAACAUAAAAAAUGUGCUCUGUUGUUUCUACAUUUGUGUUGCAUAGGUGACAGUUUUCUACAUCACAUUUCAAUCUUAAACUGCAUUUCUUUGUUUUUAGGAAGAAGUGGAAAUUAAAGAUAUUUUGUUCUAAUAGCUGAUAUUUCA